rnacentral:misc_RNA from 1 species
ACACAAAUACAAAAUCAAACCUCAAAAAUCCACCCAAAUAUUCUCAAACAUCUCCCCCCCAAAAAAACCAAAAUCUACCUACUAUAUUACUUUAUACUCUCACCUCUAAUUUCACUAAAAACUAUCCCCCACCACCAUCUCACUCUCUCUAUCAAAAAAUUAACUUACAACUCCAAUUCAUAAAAUUCCUUAUCAUUCUUCCCUUUAACUUCCAACUAAAUCUCCAUCUAAAACGCGAAACCCACCACGCUUACUAAUUAUACCUAAACUACUAAAACCCACUCAAAAAAAUAUCUAAAAUAAAACACCUUUCGCUAUUCAAAAAAACACCUACAACCUACAUAAAUAAUACAAACUUCUUAUCUUAAAAUUUAAUUAAUCUUCCACAUAAACCAAACUACUCAAUCUCUUUUCUCCACCAAAUUUUCCUACUAAACUCUCCUCAUACUAUUAUUCUUAACAUCUCUAAUUAACAUAUAAAUAAUCACCUAAACCAUCUCUCCUUCAAAUACCCUAAAUCAAUUAAAACUAAUCCCCGACAAAUAACGACCGAACAAAAACCUCAAAAAACAAUACUCAAAAAACUAAACAAACACAAACCACACAAUCAACAAACAAUAAACAUAAAACUCAACAAUAACAAAUCAUACUACUCAACUAACAAU